CAUGUCCUUUUGAAUAUAAUUUAAGGUCUAAUCUGCUCAAUGAGGGAUUAAAUUGCCGCGGUAUUAUGACCGUGCGAAGGUAGCAUAAUAAUUAGCUUUUUUAUUGAAAGCUGGAAUGAAUGAUUGGACGAGAAAAUAUCUGUCUCUACUUAAUUUUUUAUUGAAUUUAACUUUUAAGUAAAAAGGCUUAAAUGUUUUAAAAAGACGAGAAGACCCUAUAGAGUUUAAUACUUAACAUUGUUAAAGUUUUUUGGUAUUAGUUUCUUUUAUUUUGAGAGGUAUUUAGUUGGGGUGACUAGAAGAAUAAAUAAACUCUUCUAUUGUUCUUAUUACUGAUUUGUAAAUAAUUAUUCUGGGUUUUCCAAGUUUAACAUAAAUUACCUUAGGGAUAACAGCGUAAUUUCCUUUGAGAGUUCUUAUUUAAAGGGGAGUUUGCGACCUCGAUGUUGGAUUAAAAUUAAUAUUGGGUGCAGUAGCUCAAUUAUUAGGUCUGUUCGACCUUUAAAAUUUUACAUGAUCUGAGU
rnacentral:rRNA from 1 species